rnacentral:lncRNA from 1 species
GCAGGUAUAAUAUCGGGCUACGAGAUCGAUGUAGUCAAGUGGAUAGCCCGAGAGAUUAUGGAUAGGGCAACUAGCACAGACACUGUGUUGACCUUCCCUUGCAUGGUGACUUAGAUUUGUUUGGAGGUGGGAGUGCCAGAGCUCCCAGAUAUUAAUCGAUUCUUAAGGCCGAGGACCACGAUAGAUUUGGGGUUAAUCAGAGAUGUAACUAAUCCUAUCUCAAAGAUGGCAAAGUUGGGCACGUCCAUAAUUAGUGAUGCAUAUGAGGCUGGAGAAGAUGACAGUACGAGGUUUACUGAUAUAGGUGAUAUCCCUAUUAAGACUGUCCAGUCCAUGUCCCAGGCCUCUGAUGCAGCGGUAACCUCUCGUACUCCCACUCCACCACUUACUAUGGAACCACGACCAUCCUCAUCCAAGUUGGUUCCAGCCGACUAUGUAUUAGUGUCGCAAUAAUUUCUUUUCAAAGUUAUAAAGAGGUUGAGUACGGUGGAAAUAAAGGUGCGAUUGAUGAAGAAAGGAGUGAAAUCAUGGGUUUAGAAGAGGCUUAAUGAAGAUAUGAGGACAAUGUAGGCAAGGUUUGAUGUGUUUGAGUGGAGGAUUAACCGUCAGCUUGAAGGUAUCCAGUCCCCAAACAUAGCAGGUGUACAGGCUGAUUUAGCCAAUCUGUGAAAAUUAGUAGAAGAGUUACAUGAUAGGACAAUCCUAUCAGUGCCUAUUAUUGAGGAGACCACAGAGAGGAUGUGGUCAAAAAUACUUUAUCUAUUGGUGAUGCAACUCCUGCAGCUGGCGAAAAGGUGAAAAAAGCAAAAAAAAAAAAAAAAGAGAUUUGAAG